CUCACUGAACUGGGUGAAGUAGUAAACCAAAGGUGAACAAUUUGAACAAAGCCCCAACAACUUCUACCAUCAACAGGCAGAAGACCACAAGCUAUACAAGGACCUCAAGAACUUCCUUAGUGCAGCUGAAGUGAUGCAUGAAAGUUCAAAAAGAGUAUCAGAAACCCUGCAGGAAAUCUACAGCAGUGAGUGGGAUAGUCAUGAGGAGCUGAAGGCCAUCGUAGGGAAUAAUGAUCUCCUUUGGGAAGACUACGAGGAGCAACUGGCUGACCAGGGUGUGAGGACCAUGGAAAA
rnacentral:lncRNA from 1 species